AUAACGCAGCGAAAGCUGUGCUAAUACCGCAUAAGAUCUACGGAUGAAAGCAGGGGAUCGCAAGACCUUGCGCGAAUGGAGCGGCCGAUGGCAGAUUAGGUAGUUGGUGAGGUAAAGGCUCACCAAGCCUUCGAUCUGUAGCUGGUCUGAGAGGACGACCAGCCACACUGGGACUGAGACACGGCCCAGACCYCUACGGGAGGCAGCAGUGGGGAAUUUUGGACAAUGGGCGAAAGCCUGAUCCAGCCAUGCCGCGUGCAGGAUGAAGGCCUUCGGGUUGUAAACUGCUUUUGUACGGAACGAAACGGCCUUUUCUAAUAAAGAGGGCUAAUGACGGUACCGUAAGAAUAAGCACCGGCUAACUACGUGCCAGCAGCCGCGGUAAUACGUAGGGUGCAAGCGUUAAUCGGAAUUACUGGGCGUAAASCGUGCGCAGGCGGUUAUGUAAGACAGUUGUGAAAUCCCCGGGCUCAACCUGGGAACUGCAUCUGUGACUGCAUAGCUAGAGUACGGUAGAGGGGGAUGGAAUUCCGCGUGUAGCAGUGAAAUSCGUAGAUAUGCGGAGGAACACCGAUGGCGAAGGCAAUCCCCUGGACCUGUACUGACGCUCAUGCACGAAAGCGUGGGGAGCAAACAGGAUUAGAUACCCUGGUAGUCCACGCCCUAAACGAUGUCAACUGGUUGUUGGGUCUUCACUGACUCAGUAACGACACUAACGCGUGAAGUUGACCGCCUGGGGAGUAC
rnacentral:rRNA from 1 species